GAUGAACGCUGGUGGCGUGCCUAACACAUGCAAGUCGAGCGAUUCUCUUCGGAGAAGAGCGGCGGACGGGUGAGUAACGCGUGGGUAACCUGCCCUGUACACACGGAUAACAUACCGAAAGGUAUGCUAAUACGAGAUAACAUGCUUUUAUCGCAUGGUAGAAGUAUCAAAGCUUUUGCGGUACAGGAUGGACCCGCGUCUGAUUAGCUAGUUGGUGAGGUAACGGCUCACCAAGGCGACGAUCAGUAGCCGACCUGAGAGGGUGAUCGGCCACAUUGGAACUGAGACACGGUCCAAACUCCUACGGGAGGGAGCAGUGGGGAAUAUUGCACAAUGGGCGAAAGCCUGAUGCAGCAACGCCGCGUGAGCGAUGAAGGCCUUCGGGUCGUAAAGCUCUGUCCUCAAGGAAGAUAAUGGCGGUACUUGAGGAGGAAGCCCCGGCUAACUACGUG
rnacentral:rRNA from 1 species